GACCAGUGAAGUAUCCCUGGAGAAUGCGCGGCAAGGGGACCACAGUAUGUUCAUAAUCGGGGCCGGUGUACCGUUGCUCUUCAAUGAAGAUUGUCCGAGGUUUUCCUACAGCUUUCCUAUUGAGUAAUUCACAUUAGAUAUGUACUUACAAAAAACUGGCUGACAAUCUGAAUUGGUUAUAAAAACAUUUACACAUCAUGUUGCUUUUUACUUAGUGAAAAAAAUGUGACGCAAAAUUUUGUAAUUGAUAUUAUUCAUGAGUCGAAUGUAUUUGAUAUUUCACGGUCAAAUGGUGAGACUCGGAAUUUGAUCUUCUGCAAUGACGAAAUUUAAUUCCAAGUAUUCUCACGCACUUAGAAUGUGAGUUACAUGUGAAAGUGAACAAAACAAGUGGUCUUUUUUUUAUUUUUAAUGAAAAAUUUUUAUUUCUUUAUUACUUUUUAUGGGCAUAAACACCUUUAAAAGCGUGUUGAGAAAGUUAGUAAGAUGUUCUUGAUAAAAAAUAGAGUGACAAACUAUGAACGAAUUGUAAUCAUCAAAUCAAUGGUUAACUAGGCCAUUCAUGUUAUGGAAAAUUACUAUUAUAUCCAUGUGAAAUUCAAGGUUGUAAAAAAGAUGACUGAACACAAAUUGAGAAUCGCAGACGUGCUAGAGACUAUUGAAUCAAAGUUGGCUUAUGUUCCUGGUGGAAGAGAUAGAGAAGGAAAGCCUAUACUUAUCGUAAAUAUUCCUACAGAGUUUCCAGAUGACUCAAUUACAAAUAUUAAAUUGGAAAAACUUAUUCGUUAUCUCCUAUCCAUUUUCAACGAUGCAUCGAGGCGAAAUGGAAUUUGUCUGAUAGUAGACGCAAGGAAAGGAUCUUGGCGAGAAACCAGAUCCUACAUCAGAAGGACUAUCAAUGCAGUGGGAAAAUAUGCAGCUCGCACAAUUGUAAUUCGAUCUGAUGGCUUUUGGGAGAAAAGAGUCGACAACUGCACAAAGUCCUGGAAGAAUGGAGAGCCAACAUACAUAUCUCUUACUAGAUUGAAUACAUAUGUAGAUUCAACUCAGAUUAGUAGUGAUUUAGGGGGAAUAAAGUACUAUGAUCACGCUGAGUGGAUUCAAAUACGAAUAAGAGUUGAAGAGUUUGAAAGAGAUGCUACAGAUUUGAUUAAUAAAUUAACCGAUCUCGAACAUAAAUUAAAAGACUACGAUAAAAUUAUUAGAAAGAAAGAACAAGAAAAAGCUAUAGAUUAUUAUUGGGAGAUUAGAGAAGAUUUAGAGUUGGUCGGUCGUUAUAUUUUACAUUCAGGAAGAGUAUUAGCAAGCAAUAUGAGUAUAGAAACUUCUCAGGAUUUUCAGGAUACUGUUAAUAACAUUCAUGAUAUUCUAGACGUGCUAGAAUCCAAGCAAACGAAAGUUGAAGACAUCUGGAGUCGUAUGACAACGAAUUUAAAUUUAAUGAAAGAAAUAAGUGAACUUGAGGAUGGUGUGGCAGAAGUUACAAACUGGAUUCUCGGUCCUGCAGAUGCAAUGCUAAAUUUUCACUGCAACGUAGGCUUUGAUGUUACGUCUUCUGAGAAUUUACGACGAGAACAUGAAGAAUUAGAAUUAGAAUGUCGGGAAACUUAUGGGAGAUAUGCUAAAAUCCUUCAUCGAAUUGAAAGCAUACCCGAAGAUUGUUUGACAGCAGAUCUCAAGUCUCAAAGAGAUUUCAUGGAUUUUGUGUGUAGAAGUUUCGCAGCCAGAUUAGAAAGGCGGAGAAAUGUUUUAAUUACUUGUCAAAGAUUUUUUCGUCUUGUAUCUGAAUAUUUCGAUAAAACCAGUGAAGUCUUCGAUAAAUUAAUCAUGGGAAAUAGAAACUGUAAUUUUUCUGAAGCAGAAGAAAAACUUAAGCACUUAGAAAGUAGCCAAUCAGACUUGGAAAAGCUUUUAAAAGAGUUAAUAAAAGGAGGCGAAAAGUUAUCAGACAUUCUAUUAAUGCCAGUUAAAGAUGCUCUAGGUCGAGAUUUAGAUAUUAAUUAUGGAGAAGAUAUAGCUAAUGUAAGAGACAUUCUAGAUGCUACGAAGGCUCGAAAAAAUAUUUUCAAUGACUCUAUGGAGUUACAAAAACUCACAUUAAAGCAAAUUAUUCUGAUUAAUGCGUAUGAAACUGAUGCCGAGCAAACGGUCAGGUGGCUUGUUGAACUUUAUAAAAGCUUGAUAGAAAAUCAUAUUGAUAUUGGUUGUAAUGCUAAUGAAAUUCAAUUACAAAGAGAAGAACUCCAGACUUUUCAAGAAACAGCACAGGGAACAUUUGAUUACGGUUGCCAACUAUUAAGUGGAGCACGAGUACUACGAAUUUCUUGCAGAUUGAGUUUAGAUUGCAAUACGAGCUUAUUCUCCCAACUACGAAAAGCUUGGCGGCAGCUCUGCUCAGUGACUCAGGAACAACUGACUAGGCUUAGAGUUUGUACAGUCUUUCACAGAAGUGUCUAUGAGCAUUGCAGUGCUCUAGAUGAUUUAAUUAGUACUGUUAGAACUUCAACAUCAAAUGUUAAACAAUCUGGAAAUGAGUUUCUACAAUCUUCAAAUUUUUGGACAGAAUUCUUAAAAGGAAUCUUGGAAAAUCGAGAAAAACUUUUGGUUAAUGUUGGAAGAACAGUUAGACUGGGGCGUCUGUUACGAACAAGAUUGAAAGAACCGUUAUACUCUCAAAUAAGCAGAAUGUUUAGUUUAGAAGAAGGAGAGGCAUCGCCAGAGCCAAGAAAUUUAUCUGCCAUCGAUGCAAUUUCUGAACGGCUUGCUGAAGUUACACGUCUUGCAGAAAAAUUAGAUGCGCGUUUGUAUGAAGCAGGAGCAAAAACACGAAUACCAAAAGAUGAUAAGGAAAAUCUUAAAGAGAAAAAAGAUAUUCCUUCUAAAGAAAUUAGUGAAGGAACAAAAGAAAUAUUGUCAGAAUCUGAAGAAAUUCGUACUGAAGAAUAUGUAACUGCUACAGAAUGUUCAGAAACACCGGUAGCAAGGUCUCGGAGCGAAUCAUUUGUUACCAUGUCAGAAUAUGAAGAUGAGAAUUCUGACGUUCGUAGAUUGGUCGAGAUUGAAGAGCACCAGGAGAAAAAGAUAUCUGAGUCUUUAGUAUCGACUGAUACCUUUGAGAAAGUUCAUGAUCCGAUCAUGAAUAAAAAUUCUAAUGUAAUUGUUGAUAUUAACCAGAAUGUUGAUGAUAAAGCGAACGUAAUAUCUAUUAUUGAAUCAAUUGAGGAAAAAGGAGGUAAAGUAGUCAAAGAAGUUACAGAAGUAACUACAUUGAGAGUCUCCCACGACACCAAGUUUGGAGUUGCUUCGUAUCAGCUCAUGUCCAAUACUGUUACGGAGAACAAAGAAGUCAAAAGUACCGAAGGAAUUCUUGAUGCAAGUCAUCAGUCACAAACAAAUCAUAAAAAUAAUCUUUCCGAUGAAAAAAAAGAUGCUUCCAAUUAUUCUAGAGAAGAAAUAACGAUCUCAGAAGUUGAGAAAAAAACUCCAGAAUUGGAAGACAGUCAUGCUUCUGAAAGUAGUCUAUCAAGAAUUGUAAAAGAAUCGUGUGAAUGUAAUAGUAAGAAUUUAAUAAACGUAAAAAAAAUAAAAUUCUUGGAAACGAAAGGUAAUGAUGACAGUGGAAUCGAAAUCACCGCAAAACAUGAUGAACAAAUAGAAAUAACUGAUGUAGAAGAAAGAGAAUUUUUUGAAAAGUUUCAAACGAGUGGAGAAUGGCUAAGGUUGAAAGUUCUGGAAGUGUACCCAGAACUGACAAGAUUAGGAACAACAGUUGAGGAAGCAAAAAAUUUGUCGGCUGCACAUGAUGAAGUUCUCGUACGUCUUCAAAGCAAACAGAGUCCAGUCGAAGAAUUAUUGAGACAAGCAGAUCAACUAAUUUCAACUCAAAGACCUCGUGCUGAAGUUUAUGCUGCUAUGGCUGAGAGUCUGGGUCAAACAUGGGCUAACGUUAAUUCUCUUCUAGAACUUCAAAAACAAAUUUUAGAUCAUAAUGUUCUUUUUCAAGGUCAAGCUGAGGAUUUCAAAGCCAACGCUAAAGCAUUAGAAAAAACUUGCAUUGAUACACUGUUGCCAAUAGAAAUAGAAGUAGUUAAAAAAUUCAUAAAUAGAAUUCAUGAUUUAAGAAAAACAAUGUUGAGUUCUUUAAUGGGAGCUUUACAAGAAGGCCGAACACUUUUGGAUUGCUUGAAAGAAAUAUCUAAUGAAGGAACACUUGAUUCAAGACCUGAUAAAAUAAAGGCUGAUGCCGAGAGUGCUGUUUUUCAAGUGGAAAAAUGGUUAGAAGAGCUUCACGACCAAAGAACGCGAAUAGAAUUAUUAUUUACAAAUAGAAAAAAUCAACUGGAACAAUGUUUAGCUUUAGCAUUACUCGCUACAGAUCUUCGAGAUCUUGAAGAAAUUUUAACUGAUAGAAUCACUGCUCUUGGGGCUAGUAGCGGUCAAUUAGGAGACUCUUCUUCAAGUGCAGAGCUGUUAUUAUUUGAGUUGAAAAAACUCCAAGCAGAAGCUAAAAAUCUUCAAGAUCGAGCCUUAAAAAUUACUAAAUCGACAGAAAAAUUUGUUUCAUCGAAACAUUUUGCUGGAGAACAAGCAACUGAGCAAGCAUAUGAAAUAUUAGCCACAGCAACAGAUUAUAUUAACGAUUUAGAACAAUAUGAAGGUCUUUUGAACAGAGCAAUACCAUUUUUUGAUUCAGCUAGAUCGGCAUUUACAAAAUUAGAUCAACUUGAAAUUCAACUAGCGACAACAGAUUAUCCACUAUAUUCAACUCCACUAGCUCGUUUCCAUGCCCAAGCUUCAACUAUGCUGACGGAAGUCAUUACUAGUCCUUUGGCAGAAGGUUAUGCUUUGCUCGAUGUUACGGGAAGAGGAGCGCCCAAUGCAGAUGGAAUUAGAAGAACUGUAGAAGAAUUAGAGAACAGAAAAAUUAGUCUUUUAGAACGUUGUACGGCUCAUAAAGAAGAGAACUUGAGGAUAUCUAGAGGAUUGGCUAUUUUCUUCGAAAAGUACGAUGAAUUAAGAUCAUGGCUUAGUGGAAUAGCCAAUGCAUUUCUUCGAGGUCAUCAAGAUAUGGGAAGUGAUCUUCCAAUGGCUAAAGAUUUUUAUAAAAUCCACUGUCAGCUAUUAGAGGACUUAAGUAAACGUGGAGAUGAGAUUGAUGAAGCUCUAGCAAUUUUAUCAGGAACGAUCAUAGAAAUUGUUGAUGAAAGACAACGAUCCGCUCAAAAAAAGAAUAUUGAAGAUCGGGUAGAUGAGUUAAGAGAUUCAUGGCUUGAUUGUAGACACACGGUUGAAGCUAGAGUAAAUCUGAGUGCUCUUUAUGUCGAUUUUCAUGAAACUGCUGUAAUCUUAAGUAAAGACGUUGAUGAAAUUGAAAGUGAAUUCAAGAAAAGUACUGACAGUCUGCAAGAGAGUAUGAUUAAUAGAUUAGAGCAAAAAUGGAGCGAACUUCAACCAUUAUACAUGAAACUUACGAAUUAUGGAGCUAAAUUUUUAGCCGAAGCUGAUAUAUGCACUGAUGCGUACUUGGACAUCCCGCGUGCUCGACUCUGCGUGGAAACGACCUUGGAGCGUUUCGCCAACAAGCAACUGACCGUAACGGAAUCUUGGGAGAACUGGCAAACUUCUGUUGUAACGACGAGAGAGCAGAGAAUUGAACAGGAAAAACAAAUUGAAGAAACUACGAGAACACUAACGUGGGCUUCUAAGUUUGGAGAACAAUUGUAUCCUAUCAUGACAUCUGAGUCUAUAAAACCGUCAGUUGUCUUUCAAGAUCUUAAAAGCACUAAACUGGGUAUCCUACCGGAGUUAAAGAGAGCUGUAAGUGAGCUAGAUGUCAGGAUUAAAAGUGUUGAAAACUUCUCUAUUGGAGAUGAAAAAACGAACGAGCGAGCCAAAGGACAAAUUCUACGUGUUUAUGAACAUCUUCGAACAACUUCUACCAAUUAUCAAAUCCUUUUAGAAUCUCUGAUAUCAAUUUUCCAAAAUUUUGUUCAAAUUGAAAAUAAAACAGAUGAGAUACACGAAAUUCAAUAUGAAUUGGAGAAGUCGACGGCUGGAUUUUUAUCAGAAUCUAGUCGAAAUGAUAUUCGAUUUAAAGUCGAGGUUGUAAAAAAAAUCCACGAAUCAAUUGUCGACAUCUUAAAAAGCCUUGAGCCCACGAUUGAUCGAGUGAUAUCGAUAAUCGAAGUACAAGAACCACCUUCGGCUGCUAAAAAAGAAAUUGAAAAAUUAAAUCAGAUUUUUAAAGCAGUUUCUAUAUCAUUCGAAACAUCGUGCGCAGAAACUCAAUUAAAAUUAAGUAAACGUUUACUUUUUUGCAAUUUUGCUGAUGAUUUGGAUCGUAUCGAUGUUGAUCUUCAGUAUCUUAGUAAGCAAUUAGGUGGAAGUACUGAGACUGGAUAUCGCUUUGCUGGAGAUUCUUUGCCAUCUGCAGAAGCAGCUGCAUUAGCAUUCAUUGAAUUUGAAAAGACUAUUACAGUUUUAGAAGAUAGAAUAAAAAUAUUUAUUAAAAAAACUGAAGAUAAUUUUGAGUUAACCAGUCCGGAUUUAGCUCCUGUCGUUCAUCGUGAAUUAUCGAAGCUUCAAGAGCGAUGGAAUCAAUUAAAAUCAUUAUCACAAAGUACUCAAAAGCGAAUAAAUUUAAGUAUUGAGUAUUUUAAGCUUCUAGAGGAAGCUAAGAACUGGUCUCGAGACGGAAAUAAAUUGCUAAUAGUAAUAGCAAGAAAAACAUCAGCAAUAAAGACCCCAGACGAAGUAGAAGCAUGUUUAGAAGAUAUUGAUAAGUUUUUAAAGCCUGGGGAAGAAAUUCAAGAAAAUAGAAUUAAAAGAAUUCGAGAAUUUUCUACGAAAAUUUUUGGCACUGAUCGAUUACCACAAUUCAAUGAAGUUGUUGUUGAAAAUAGAGAAACAUUAGAUUCGUUCGCCGUGAUAGCAUCAGAGUUGAAAACUCUAGUCCAGAAUCUGAAAAAUUCUGUAGAUAUUCUUGAAGAAAAACAGAAAGAAAAAGAACGAGAUGAUGAAACAUUACGACAAUUAAAUAUUGCUAGAAUUGAAGCACGGGCAGCAUAUGAAGCAGAAAUAGAAGAAAAAAGAAUCAAUGCUGAAAUGGAGAAAAGAAAAAAAUAUGAGCAUGCAUUAAAAAGUUCAGUCUCUACUCCAACUGAAAAACAACAUACGAUUGUGGAAGAAACCGUAACUUCCGCCAAUACCACUAAGGAGAUUCGGAUUUUACAAAAGACUGCGGUGGAAGAAAGUUUACCGGUUCUAGUACCAUCACUGCCACACGUUCAUAAGCAAGUAGAUGAAUCUAAAGAGAUAAAGGUAGUGAAGGAACUUGUUUUGACUCAAGCACCCAGGUUUAUCAUACCUUUAAAUGAUUCUACCGUUGAAGAAGGUAAUCGAUUUAUCUUUGAGUGUAAAUUAGAAAAUGGAAAACCAAAGCCUGAAAUAGUGUGGUACAAAGAUGGAAUUUCAAUUUUAAAUAAUCCUGAUUAUUUACCGAGUUAUGAUGAAGAAACUAGUGUCUGUUCAUUGACUAUUGAAGAAACAUUUGCUGAAGACUCUGCUAGAUUUGCUUGCAAGGUCUCCAAUACUGCUGGAGUCGUUGAAACAGGAGCUGUUCUUAAUAUCAAAAAAGCUACUACAGAUCAGCAGUUAAGUCCUCCAGCCUUCAUAAAAGGAUUAGAGCCUUCUAUAGCGAAAAAAGGAUCACAUCAUUUUUUAUCCUGCACUGUAACAGGAAAUCCUCUACCAACAGUUCAAUGGUUCAAAGAUGAUAUAAAUAUCGACGAUUCUCCAGACUAUGUAAUUACUUACAACAAUGGAGAGGCAGUGUUGAAAUUCUUAGAAAUAUUAUCCGAUGAUAAAACUGUUUAUACUUGUACAGCUACAAAUAAAUUAGGACAAGCAUCGACCUCAGCGAAUUUAGAAGUACAAGAGGGGAAGGAAGUAGAAGUGAUUCAAACCAACGGUAUCUCUAGUUUAUCUCCAGAACCUGAUGAAGACAGUAAAGAAAUAUUAAGUUCGAAGGUCAGUUUUAUCAAGGAGCACAGGAUAAUUGAAGAAUCUCAUAUUAUUAAGAUUGAAAGCCACACGGAGGAGAUGGGAGGGAGAUUGAGUCAAGUUAAACCUGAUGCUUCAGCACAGGAAAUCAUUGCAUCCAAGACUGAAGUUGUUCCGGUGAAAAUUGAAACAUUAGAAAAAAGUUCAGCGAUGCCCGAGUAUUAUCAUAUUCCUGAAUUUAUUCAACCAAGUGUGCAAUUACCUCUUAAAGAUGUGCAAGUUUUUGAAGGAAAAACAGUGAGACUUGACUGUAUAAUUAUUGGACAGCCUGAGCCUGAAGUAAUCUGGUAUCAUGAUGAUCAGCCAGUCAAAGAAUCUGCAGAUUUCCAAUUACUAUUUCAAGGUGACAGAUGUUCGCUCAUAAUUCAAGAAGCUUUUCUUGAUGAUGCCGGAAAAUAUAAAGUUGUUGCUAUCAAUAGCAAAGGAAAAGCUUCAAGUGAAUGCAUUUUAUCUGUAAUUCCGGUUUCUGACGCUGCCAAAAAAUCUACAGAAAGCUCUUCUCCGCAAUUUUUAAAAUUAAUAUCCGACGUGAUAGUAUUAGAAGGUGAAGAUGCUAUCUUUGAAUGUCAAGUGAUAGGAGAGCCAAAACCAGAUUUGAGAUGGUAUUUUAAUAACGAAGAAAUUAUGUUUAUGCAAGAGAGAAUUACAAUGACACAUGAUGAGUCGGGAAAUUGCUCACUAAAAAUUUGCACAACAACGACUGAAGAUAAAGGAAAUUAUGUAGCAAAAGCUACAAAUCUUUUCGGAGAAGCAAAAGCAAUAGCUCGAUUAGUAGUAAAUUCAUCAAGCAAUGAUGUAUAUAAACGCGAAGAAUUAAUUACAGUAGAAGAAAAUUUAAUCCCACCAUAUUUUGAAGAUAAGUUUGAAGAAAAUCGAAUCGUCUCAGUGGGAAAUUCAACCACAUUUGAAUGCGUAGUCCGGGGAAAGCCAGCGCCAAAGAUUCAUUGGUUAUUCAAGAAUAAACCUGUGUUUGGAAAAAAUUUCCUAGUAUCUGGAUGUGGUGAAAGACAAAUUCUGACCAUACCAGAAACAAGUCAAGAACACGUGGGUUCAAUCUCGUGUGUGGCUGAAAACUCAGUGGGAAAGGCAACGUGUACUGCACAACUUGAAGUCAGAGGUGAAGAGACUCAGGUGACGGUGAAAGGGGUGGAGGACGUUGAAGUAGAUUUGGUAGCGAACAAACCCGAUAUGCAAGCUUCAAGCAGUAGUGAGAAACACUUCACAACAGAAAGGAGAGUGUCACCAGGCGACCAAGUGGAUGAGAGUGUUCUCACUAAAAUGUCGUCCUCAAUUACUCAGUCUUCAACAACAAGGUCUAGUUGUACUAAGGAAUUCAAAUCUUCUACCACAUCAAGCAUUGUUGAACCUCAAUUCCGAUCUGGACCAAACAAUUUUAUUACAAAAUCUCACGUUGAAAGCAGAGAGUACAGUAGCCAACAGAAUGGAGGUCCACCAGUUGUUCAGAGUCAAAAAAUCGAAGAGUUUGAAAAAAUUAUUCAAGACACGCCCGGACAAGUACAGCAAGAGAGAACAAAGAUUAUUACAGAAGGAACAACUACUCCAAGAAUGCAAAAACCAGCGAGAAAAAAUAUUGCUCCAAGAUUUGUAACACCUGUGACAGGAAUGAUUGUAGAUCAAGGCAGUGAUGUGAUUUUAGAAGGAAUAAUUGAUGGUUUUCCACAACCAACAAUUACUUGGUCGAAGAAUGGUCAAGAUUUGAAAGAUAACGUCAAAGCAACUUUUGAGCACAAUCAUGUUCGUCUUGAAUUAAAAAAUGUUAAUGUCAAAGAUGCUGGAAGAUAUACUUGUACAGCAGUUAAUGAUGUUGGCAAUGCCAGUAGUACGGCAGAUCUUGUUGUAAAGAAGACAAUUUUUCCACCUGUUUUUGGCAAACGUCUUCAAGCGCAAGUAGCGAAGAAAGGUGAGCGAGUAAUUAUGGAAGUAGAAAUAACAGGAACACCAGAACCUACUGUUACAUGGUAUAAAAACGAUGAACCUUUGAUGGAUGUUGACGGACAAUUGAAACAGCUUGGCAAUUGUUACUUGUUAAUUAUUGAUGCAGCUGAAAAACGACAUGCUGGUAAAUAUAUGGUUCACGCAACAAAUGCUGGAGGAGAAGCUCAAAGUAUUGCAGAUUUUGCUGUCUUCGAACCAACCCCGGAUACUAUGGUCGAAGUGCAUAAAACAAUUGUUUAUGAAAAUGUUGGUGACAAAAAUAUAAAGUUGGAAGAAAAAAAGAGUGAGUUACCUUCAGCAGCGUUAACUGCAGAGCAUAUUGCAACAACCACAAUUCAGCCAAGUUCAACAUUAAAAACUUUAAUUCCACCUUCCUCUUCCUCAUCUAAAUCCUCUCACAUUCGAAAAAUUGAAGUAAUAGAACCUAAGAGCUCACAUAAAACAGAGGAGUCAAUGAUAGAAAAAGCAAGUCGAUCUGAAUAUAUUUCUUCAACGAUUGAGUCUCAUCAAAGUGAAACAAAAUCAGAACAAAAAUUCCAUAUGAAACUUCAACAUCAAACACCUCUCCUAUUCGAUUCUGAAACACUCACGGCACCUUCGGAACCUACGAUAACGACAAAAACAACGAAAAUUAGUACAGAAGAAACCCAAAGUGGUGGACAACCAGUCUCAUCGAAGACAACAGAAUAUAUGGAGACAUCGAAAAGCGAAGGAGGAAGGGUUGAAGAAAAUGAGUAUGUUGAAACCUCAACAAUUGCUAAAAAAGAUGCUCUUAGUUUCUUUGAAUCAAUAUCCAAAGAAAGUGAAUCUACUCCAAAAGGUCCAAAAGCAAUGAUUAAGCUUACAGAAAAUGAAGAUGGAAACUAUGAUGUCAAAGUAAAUAAAUUAACAAAAAAUUACGAGCGAUCGACUACGUUUCAUGAAACAAAAAAGGCAGCUGAUAUGCCAUCAAAAAAAUCAGUCCAAGAUAUUUCUAAUAAAUUUGAAACUCCAAUUAUUACAAAAGGUGUAGAUAACGUUAUGAUUGAUUUUCCAUAUGAACAAUAUAAACUUCCAGCUUUAAAUAUUCAGAGAACCGUAUUGGAAGAUACUACAGCAUCAGGAUCACCAAUUCAUGGUACUUUAACUAUUUCGAAACUUGUAGCACAGUCAGAAAGUGCAGAACAAAUGCUUUCAGGAUUUAAUUUAGUACCAGAACCUCCACCAGAAAUUGGCUAUAUGCCCAAGCCUGAAGAAGAAUUAAAAAAACGUACAGAUAUUUCAUUUAAAGCUAAACAGCUCGAAGAAUGUCAGAAAAAAACAGUUGAUGCACCAAUAGGUGGUGUAAAAAUUUUCCCCACAUCACCAGAGAAGCAAGCUCCUGUUCCAGAAGUAAAAAAACCGGAAAUGAAAUCUAUAAAUAUUCCUCCACCAUUCGAAUUAAGCCAAACUAAAGAAUUUGCACGAAAAGAAGUCGUUGAAGAGAAAUGUAUUAAAAGAGACGUUCAUAAGAAAAAUGAUAUUAAAAUGUCAACAUAUAGUCCAGCUCCCUCAUCUCCACCUAAAUCAGAGCAGAAUGAAAAGUGGUGGUCAUCUACAUCAGAUUUAGAAACUCGUUCACAUGUUUCAACAGAUUUAUCCGAAUAUCGAUGUCAAUCCGGAGCUUCUAGUCAUUUUGAAGGUCGUGCGACGUCUCCCAAACCAUCUGCGGAUGGUUUAGCGAUGGAAAAAUCAUGGGCAAAAUCAAAAACUAGUGAGUCUAAUCGAAAAUCUUGGCCACCACCAGCCUCUGAUAAUAAAGAAACAACGAAAUGCUUUACUAAGAAAGAAGAGUGGAAAGAACCUGAGAUGGGUUUCAAAACAUCCACGCAUGAAAAACGUCAAGAAAUGGAAGAAAUACCUGGUGGAGGAUUUACAAAAACUAACAUUGAAUCUUCGACGAGCUUAGAAUCUCGUUCAUGGAGUACUCGUGAAAACCAUAUAGAACAAAAAAUUACAGAAAAACCAUCAGAACCCGCUCUACCAAAAUCAAUCAUCAAACUAGCAAAAGCUCCAUCUCCACCGAAGCAAGCUCCAGUAACAAUGUAUAAAGCAGAAACAACUAAAGUUGACCAUAUUGUGAAUUCUGUACAAGAAAAAUCAUUAAUUGAGAAGUAUUCAUCUGAAUGUGAAAUAAAAAAAAUGGAAAGUUCAGAAAAAUUCAGUUCGUACGAAGAACUAAAAGCUCCUGGAUUAGUGAAAGCUGUACCGAUUCCGAAAGUACAACUUUAUCAUGCUAUUGGAGAAGCUCCAAAAAUGGAAUCUGAAAAUAUAAAAUCAUUUAAAGAAUCAACUUCAAUGUUUAAAGGAUCUUUAGCAACAGCUCCCAAACAUCCCGUUGUUCAAUUAUACCACUCAAUACCAGAAAUGUCUAAACAGAAUGAAAUCAUUCUUGAACCUGGAACGCCACCAGAAAUUGGUUAUGUUCCUCCAUCUCCAAUUUGUGAAAAAAAGAUUGAAAAAGUUGAAAAAGCAUUGGAAAUGUCUUUAAAAUCACAACCAGCUCAAAUUCCACCACGUGCAAUCCGUACCAUUCCACCGCCAAUUCCACCAAAAGAUGUAAGAGAAACUCCGCCACCGUUACCAGCAAAAAAAUUAGAACCAUUUUCUUCUGGAUCUGCUCAAUCAUAUGAAAAAUCUUCUUCAAUGUGUAAAUAUAUAAAAAGUCAAAUGAUUGAAUCAGAUUAUGAAUCAGAUUUUGAGUCCUGCCGAUCUAAAUUUCAAUCUUAUGAAAGUGAAGAAGAGCCUAAAUAUAGACAUGUUGAGCCACCAACGCCAAGACCACCACGACCUAAAUCAUCAGAACCUGAACCACUUCCUCCUUCGCGUUUUGAAGUUCCUUCUUCAGAUGUCACAGGACCACCCAGACCAACUGUAACUUCAAUUUAUCCAUCAGAAUCGUCUUGUAAGCAGACAUCAACAAUGAUAAAUAGGACUGAAAAAAUGAUGAAACAACAACAUUAUCAAAACAAAGAAUGUUCACAAGAGCCUAUUUUGAAACCAGGUUCUCCGCCAAUUUAUGUGCAUCCUAAUCAAAAUUUAACUUCAAAGUCUCUACCAAUGAAAUGUAUAAAACCAGAGUCCCCUAAAUUUAAAGUUAAAAGCUUCAAACAAGAAAGUGGAUAUAUGGCAGAUACUGAUGAGCCUUUUCAUCAACGAGAAGGAACUUCAAACACCUUUGAGUCUAAACAAUUUAUGGAGAGUAAAAGUUAUAUGAGCUCUUCAUCUUCAUGUCAAAAAAAAGAAGAAUCCUUAUUUUCGUCUAGUCCUCAUCCUCAAUCUACUACUCCCAAGCAACAAAUUCAAAAAAGUUUUUGUGAAAAAAAUUACAUGUCAUCGACCUGUCCAAGAGGUCUUAAAAGUGAUAAGACGGAAUCAUGCUAUUCAUGGCAAAGUCAAACAAGUUCAGCUCCAAGUCCAUCCAGAUUCGCACGUGGCGAAUUCAGAGAAAGUGACUAUGAGAGUGAUUAUGAUGGACGAAUUCCACCCCUUUGGAAACCACGGAGUGAAUCUGAUAUAGAAGAUCACUCCCAUAAACCUAUGAAGUCCAAUCUUGCAGGGAAACCAAUAAAACCGGCAGUCAGUGUGACUGAAACGGAAGCAGCAAAAAAGGAGUAUGAAAGGACGGAAGAGAAAAAAACCUUUUAUCAAAAAGAAGAUAAAAAAAUUCCACAAUCAACCCCUAAACCAAUUGCUGUGCGUCAAAAAUCUGUUCUUCUUCCUGGAUCUCCACCAGAACUCGCUUUUGCUCCUCCUCGACCUUGUCAGGGAUAUGAAGGUUACUCAGGGAUGCCAUAUCAUAAUGUAAUUGGAACAGAAUUAAAAAAAACGAUGAGGAUGGAUGAAUCAACCGAAAAUAGUAGACGAGUUGUGACUGUUGAGCAAACCAGUAGAGUCAUAAAGUUUGGAGAAGAUCAAAAAUUGAAUCAACAAUCACAAACAUGUUCAACGCCAAAAUAUAAGGUACCGACACCAACCAAGUUUAUUCAAGGUCAAUUCAGAGAAUCUGAUUAUGAGAGUGACAUAGAUACAGGAAAAAUAAAACCUAAAUGGACACCAGCAGAAAGUGAUACUGAUGAUCCAUGUUAUAAAAAAGUUCAACCACCAAAAUUCAGAUCUUCAAGUGUUCCUCCACCACAAGAAAUACGUGAACGAGUUGUUACUCCAAUGGAGUUUGAUAAUCCUCCUAUUAUGGCAUCUCAUACUCAAAGUUUUGAACAACAUCUUCGAAAGUUAAAUGAAGAAAGUGAGAAAUUGAAAACAGUUAAAAAACAAAAUUACAAUUACCACACUUUACCAAUGGAGAAGAAAGAAGAAUGCAAAAGGAGUGUUGAGAGCUUUGGAGACUUUGAAUAUUUCACGAAGGAUAUGAAGAAAGCUGCAAAUCACGUAGCUUCAAAACACAUGAUGGAUAUGACAAGCAGCUUCAAGGCAAAGACUGAAAAAUUUGUCCAAGACAUCCAGUCUGAUCUUAAGCAGCAGAGUAAGCCAAUUUUAAAACAUUCUGAUAAACGUCAUCUUGAAUCGUGUAAUGAUCCUCAAGCUUAUCGUGAAGAAAAAAGGAUGGCGCAAUAUGGAACUAAACACAUUGAUCCGGAUACGGGCCUGAUCUACUUCAAGUAUGACUUUGGCUACGAGUUCGGCAUUGUAUUACCUGGGGAAGGAAAGAAGACUAUUGCCAGUAAUAGUAAAACCAUCCAAGGUCAACGACGAGCAAGUGAUAUAGAUAUCCCAAUUGUUCAUGAAUUUACAAGUCGUCAGGAGAAUGCAUUUUCUAGAGCAUCAUGGCAAAAUCAUCACCAAAAUCAACCUAAAAGUCCAGGAAAUAAAUACUCAAGUAGUUUAAAAACUGUAAAAUGGGAGCCAACAUCAGAGAGUGAAUUUUCGGAAGCUGAAGACUCGAUUAGAAGGAAGAAAAGAGGAAUGAUACCAUCCCCACCAAGUCUCUUUAUUUCUUCAAGUCCAAGUUUUCCAAAGUGGGAUCCGAGAACGCCAUCACCAAUUUCUCUCAGCCCUAGUCUUCCUAGCUUUUCGCCUAAACACUCCAGUGCUACUACAGGACCUCCUAGCAACGUUGACUCCAUUGCAGUGAGGGAACGCAGAAAAAAUCGUGGCUCAACGGUUGCUCGGGAUUUCUGAUUGUCUUCCCCCGGGAUAAUCACCAUGGCCAAGUAGCAACGGAGUUUCUUGUCCUAAAGAAGUUAUUCAACCUUACCUUGAUAUAUUGCCAAAGAAAGCUCCAUUUUUUAUAACACCAUUGAGAGAUAUUGCAGUUGUCAGUGGCCAAACAGCA
rnacentral:misc_RNA from 1 species